rnacentral:tRNA from 1 species
GCCUCGGUAGCUCAGCCUGGUGGAGCACAACAUUCUUUAGGUAGGGGUCGCGGGUUCAAACCCCGCCCGAGGCU